rnacentral:rRNA from 2 species
CGUUGAUUGACGUGCUUGCACUGAUUUCAACAUUGGAACGAGUGGCGAACUGGUGAGUAACACGUGGAAAACCUGCCCAGAAGCAGGGGAUAACACUUGGAAACAGGUGCUAAUACCGUAUAACAACAAAAACCGCAUGGUUUUUGUUUGAAAGGUGGCUUCGGCUAUCACUUCUGGAUGGUUCCGCGGCGCAUUAGCUUGUUGGUGGGGUAACGGCUCACCAAGGCGAUGAUGCGUAGCCGACCUGAGAGGGUAAUCGGCCACAUUGGGACUGAGACACGGCCCAGACUCCUACGGGAGGCAGCAGUAGGGAAUCUUCCACAAUGGACGCAAGUCUGAUGGAGCAAUGCCGCGUGAGUGAAGAAGGGUUUCGGCUCGUAAAACUCUGUUGUUGAAGAAGAACGGGUGUCAGAGUAACUGUUGACAUCGUGACGGUAUUCAACCAGAAAGCCACGGCUAACUACGUGCCAGCAGCCGCGGUAAUACGUAGGUGGCAAGCGUUGUCCGGAUUUAUUGGGCGUAAAGCGAGCGCAGGCGGUUUCUUAAGUCUGAUGUGAAAGCCUUCGGCUUAACCGAAGAAGUGCAUCGGAAACUGGGGAACUUGAGUGCAGAAGAGGACAGUGGAACUCCAUGUGUAGCGGUGGAAUGCGUAGAUAUAUGGAAGAACACCAGUGGCGAAGGCGGCUGUCUAGUCUGCAACUGACGCUGAGGCUCGAAAGCAUGGGUAGCGAACAGGAUUAGAUACCCUGGUAGUCCAUGCCGUAAACGAUGAGUGCUAGGUGU